rnacentral:misc_RNA from 1 species
UCUCUCUCGAAGAUUAAGUAUAUAAUGUGCACGUGACAAAAAAAAGGGUAUAGCGAACGAGGCAGCGAUGGCUGCUUAUUUUAUAAAAAAAAUGACAGAACGCUUGGACAUCGUGAUUUUUGGAGCUACCGGCUUCACGGGCCAGUACACCGUCAAAGAGGCAGCUCGUCUCGCCAAAAGCAAGUCCUUCACUUGGGGCAUCGCCGGCAGGCGCAAGGAGGCUUUAGAAUCGGUCCUCAAAGAAUUCGCUCCCGAAGAAGAAAACAUAAAAGUGAUAACGGCAGAUCUGAAGGAUGAGGAAUCACUGAAAGAAAUGGCCAAGCAGGCCAGAGUCAUUGUCAACUGCGCUGGGCCGUACAGGUUUUACGGCGAGCCCGUCAUAAAGGCGUGCAUCGCCGCCAAGACCCACCACGUCGACGUUAGCGGCGAACCACAGUACAUGGAAAAAAUGCAACUCGAGUACAACGAGGCGGCCAAGGAGGCGGGGGUUUACAUAGUGAGUGCCUGCGGCUUCGACAGUAUCCCCUCGGACCUGGGCGUGGUCUUCAUGCAGGACAAAUUCGGCGGCGAAGUCAACAGCAUCGAGACUUACCUCAACGUCUGGAACACCAAAAACGUCUGCGGAUCGAGUUCAUUGAACUACGGCACCUGGGAGUCGGCUGUUUACGGGGUAGCCCACGCAAACGAGCUGCGCGCCCUGCGCACCAAACUCUUCCCCGAGAAGCUGCCGAAACUCGAGCCGGUCUUGAAGACAAAGGGUAUAGUGCACUGCAGCGCCUUCUCCGAAGGCUGGUCCGCGGUGUUUCCAGGCUCCGACCGUUCCGUAGUUCUCAGGUCCCAAAGAUUUUUCUACGAAAAGUACAAGCAGAGACCAGUGCAAAUACAAACGUACAUCACGUUCAAGACUUUCUUCCAAUUCGUUAUGACCGCGGUGGUGGGAGGAAUCUUUCUGACGUUGUCGAGGUACUCGUUCGGCCGGGGUUUGCUGCUGAAGUAUCCAAAACUGUUCUCCGGUGGUUUGGUAUCGAAAGAAAACCCGAAACCCGAGCAGAUUGAAAACACGCACUUCUCGAUCACGUUCAUCGGCAAGGGCUGGAUGGACAAACUGGCCGAGCCCACCGACCAGCACAAGGAGGAACCGAACAAGGAAGUCAUCACCAAGGUCUCGGGCGUCAAUCCGGGCUACGGUGCCACCUGCACGACCCUUUUGAUGUCGGCGAUCAUAAUUUUGAAGGAGUCCAACAAGAUGCCCGAUAACGGCGGUGUGCUUCCACCUGGUGCAGCCUUCGCCAAGACUUCCAUGAUCGAAGAGUUGGUCAAAAAUAAUGUUAAGUUCGAAGUCGUUUCGGUCAUUGAAAAGUAAGGAAAUGCCAUCGGCAAUAUAUACGUUAAUCCUACAAUGGUCAUUAUUAUCAUUAAUAUCGUUACAUCGAACGUUUAACUUAUUUGUUUAAAUAACAAAGAAAAUCUCGUGAUUCUGGGGUCAGAUCGAAGUCAAAUUAAACCACUUUCCAAAUUGUGAUAGCAACAGUCAGCUGUAUAGUGUACAGCAGUAACAAAUAUCUUCUUACUGUAGUCAAUGCUAUAUUUAUGUGUACUAUUUAACAAACUGUAAAUUAUACAAGAUUAUAAAUUACAUUUUUUAAUGUACUAGUAGAAACUAGAAAUAUGUAAAUCAAGAGGUGGUAUUACGUUUCAACUUUUAUCGCACCUCAGGGAAAGAAAGCAAUAAAACUUGUUUAUCAAUAAAAUUGAAGGUUUUCUGGGUACUUUUCAUAUUGGGAGCAAAAUAAAAAUUUCGAGAAUAUUUGUAUUUAGGGUAGCGAUGAAGUAUUUGUGGUAAAAUAUUCUUUAAAAAUAAAAUUCUUUCUUCGAGGUGUCGAUGUAAAAAUGCAUAUUUUUCUAUUCGUGGCGUCUAUUUUAGAAGAGAUCAAACAAUUUUCAGACUGACGAUAUAGUGUUACUUUAUCGAAAUUUUAAAGAAAAAGAUCUUUACGUUGUAGCUUUAACAUUGUCAUUAAGGAUAUAAUAUAUGAACAUAUAAAACUGUAGAACAGUUGUAAUAAGCCCACAACGUGCAAUGUUGGGUUUUUCUAUAUAUAAUUAUUACCAUAUUCAACGUUUAUAAGGAAAUAAUAUUGUAUGAUUAAGUUUUUCUAUGCUGUUUUAAUAAAAAUUCAUUAACAUUA